rnacentral:rRNA from 1 species
ACGGCCCCGUUGCCCAUCGCCCCCGCCGCUCCACGCGACGGAGGCCAUCUCUCCCCUAUUUCCCUCUUCUUCCAUCCCACAGGGCAAGUGCGUGGCAGAGCAAGGAAGGACGACCGACAUCUCUCUCUUCUCCCUCGCCCCGCUGCACCUCACCACAGCCUCACGCUUCCAGACGCUCGCCUCGAAGGAGGCAGCCGCCUCAACCGUCUCCACGCCCAGUGGGGCGCGGGGAGCGGGCUACUCUCGCUGCUCGACCGGGCGCUUACCGUCGAGGAGCAGUACUGCCGCCAGCGUGCCCAGGUGCAGCGCAAGGGCAUGGAGGCGGAGGGGUUUGGCAUAGAGGGGAUCUCGACGGGCGGGCACGAGACCUGCGUCACUGCGCCGUCCCCAUUCUGUGGCAGUGGUUGA